CCUACGGGCGGCAGCAGUAGGGAAUCUUCCACAAUGGGCGAAAGCCUGAUGGAGCAACGCCGCGUGGGUGAAGAAGGUCUUCGGAUCGUAAAACCCUGUUGUUAGAGAAGAAAGUGCGUGAGAGUAACUGUUCACGUUUCGACGGUAUCUAACCAGAAAGCCACGGCUAACUACGUGCCAGCAGCCGCGGGAAUACGUAGGUGGCAAGCGUUAUCCGGAUUUAUUGGGCGUAAAGGGAACGCAGGCGGUCUUUUAAGUCUGAUGUGAAAGCCUUCGGCUUAACCGGAGUAGUGCAUUGGAAACUGGGAGACUUGAGUGCAGAAGAGGAGAGUGGAACGCCAUGUGUAGCGGUGAAAUGCGUAGAUAUAUGGAAGAACACCAGUGGCGAAAGCGGCUUUCUGGUCUGUAACUGACGCUGAGGUUCGAAAGCGUGGGUAGCAAACAGGAUUAGAUACCCUUGUAGUC
rnacentral:rRNA from 1 species